GUGGGUAUAGCUCAGCGGUAGAGUUUGUGCUUAGCAUGCACUAGGUCCUGGGUUCAAUCCCCAAUACCUCCA
rnacentral:tRNA from 1 species